AAUGACCCAAAUAGCUAGCAGCGAAACGUUAAGUAUACACAACACUACAGAUAGAGAAGAUUAGGAAAAAACAGUUAAGUGUAGCUACUUUUCAACCUCAAUACAAGGGCAAGAACGUUAAGUAUACACAACACUACAGAUAGAGAAAGAUGAUUAUUAAAUCUGAGCAAGGCAUUAAAAUGCCACCACUUCUCGCCGUGGG
rnacentral:lncRNA from 1 species